rnacentral:sRNA from 1 species
UUGACGGCACUGGACAGUGAAGUUCUUUAUUUAUCCACAAAUGAAGUACAGCAUGCACAGGAUCAGUUCCAUUUCUUUUCAUCCCACCAUGUGUAUCAACCUUGUUUUGGAGAGAGAACCUAUGGACAUGAGAGGGUAGCUCAGUAUCUCUAACCACUUAGGCUAUGUCUACA